ACGGAUAACAUACCGAAAGGUAUGCUAAUACGAGAUAAUAUGCUUUUAUCGCAUGGUAGAAGUAUCAAAGCUCCGGCGGUACAGGAUGGACCCGCGUCUGAUUAGCUAGUUGGUAAGGUAACGGCUUACCAAGGCGACGAUCAGUAGCCGACCUGAGAGGGUGAUCGGCCACAUUGGAACUGAGACACGGUCCAAACUCCUACGGGAGGCAGCAGUGGGGAAUAUUGCACAAUGGGCGAAAGCCUGAUGCAGCAACGCCGCGUGAGCGAUGAAGGCCUUCGGGUCGUAAAGCUCUGUCCUCAAGGAAGAUAAUGACGGUACUUGAGGAGGAAGCCCCCGGCUAACUACGUGCCAGCAGCCGCGGUAAUACGUAGGGGGCUAGCGUUAUCCGGAAUUACUGGGCGUAAAGGGUGCGUAGGUGGUUUCUUAAGUCAGAGGUGAAAGGCUACGGCUCAACCGUAGUAAGCCUUUGAAACUGGGAAACUUGAGUGCAGGAGAGGAGAGUGGAAUUCCUAGUGUAGCGGUGAAAUGCGUAGAUAUUAGGAGGAACACCAGUUGCGAAGGCGGCUCUCUGGACUGUAACUGACACUGAGGCACGAAAGCGUGGGGAGCAAACAGGACUAGAUACCCUGGUAGUC
rnacentral:rRNA from 1 species